CUCAGCUCUGGUUCUGGUGCCAGGUCCUUGUGAACCGUCCCAGUCCAGGUUCUGGUGCCAGGCCCCUCUCUCAGCUCUGGUUCUGGUGCCAGGUCCCUGUGAACCGUCCCAGUCCAGGUUCUGGUGCCAGGCCCCUCUCUCAGCUCUGGUUCUGGUGCCAGGUCCCUGUGAACCGUCCCAGUCCAGGUUCUGGUGCCAGGCCCCUCUCUCAGCUCUGGUUCUGGUGCCAGGUCCCUGUGAACCGUCCCAGUCCAGGUUCUGGUGCCAGGCCCCUCUCUCAGCUCUGGUUCUGGUGCCAGGUCCUUCUGAACCG